CCCCGACCCGCUGCAAGGACUCGAAAGUCUGUGGAAUGGACGAGACCACCAAUAUCCUAGGGGACGGGGGAAGAGAUGAGAAGUCACCUCUUGAUUUAGGGGUAUAUGGCAAGUGUCCAUAACCUUAACCUCAGAGGCUAACGCUCUCAAAUUGUUCAUGGACCUGUUCACAAUCUCAUUUUCGGGUGAGAAUAGAAAUUUAAAACUGUAGACUGUUUCUCACUUGCCUCCCCUGCCUAACAAAUGGAAGUUACCCGCUCAUAGGUGCGCAUGCGCCGGGGCGUAUUCUCGCGCUUGGUUGUCCAGACCCGCCUCCUCCAAGCCCCGCCUCUUCGAAGUCUUUGCUGAACCAGGGCCUAUUUUGCCGGCCUCUCCCAUAACUCACGGAGCGCCCCUGAAGGCCAUCAACAAUCCUAUUUGCGCAUGGCCACCUAGAAUACUGAAGAGAUGGAAAAGACGUUGGCAUUACUCAUGAGGCCCCAGGGAAACCAUAAUUUAAAACCUCUGAUGAACGAAAGAAGAUGUCACAGUCUCCUUGCAGCUCCUGGUGAGUGUGUCCCAGACAGAAUGGAGCCAAGACUGCCAGCAUGUCCUGCCCGCCAGUGGCUGCACACAGUGGGAUGUCCCUCCAGGACCUUGUUUCAGGCAUGUUGGAGCUUCUGGGCAGAGGCCUCUUUCACAGGCUGACUA